CUUUGGUAAACAGGAGCUGUGUGGAUUUAUAUAGUCCUUAGAGAUUCUUUUUUAGUUGGCUUAACUUCUGUUUAUAUCUUUUCCCAGUCCAAGAUAUGCCUAAAAUGGUUAUUUUGGAGUUGAUGAUCUUCUCCACAGUAAAACCUGUUGAUAGACUUCUGAGUUUUGGGAUCCCCAGCCAGUCUAGCCUGACCCCCUUAUUUUGAAGCAGCUGAGGGAAAGUGCGUCGCCUCAGAUCUCAGGACUUGGAGUCAGCCAGUCAACUCUAGGUCCCCUGUCAUGAUUCAUGCUGAUGUUAGGUGGAUUUGCAUUCUCUGUCGAACUGGAUCUCUUGCUCAAAACUGACCCUGAGCCUAACCUUCUUUCCCCACUUACACAGCCAUUGUCACCAUCGCACCACUACUAUCAUCAUCACCACCACCAUCAUCACACCACCACCACCACCAUCAUCACUAUCAUCAUCACACCACCACCACCACCAUCAUCACUAUCAUCAUCACACCAUCACCACCACCAUCAUCACACCACCACCACCACCAUCAUCACUAUCAUCAUCAUCACCACACCACCACCAUCACCACCACCACCAUCACACCACCACCACCACUGUCGUCAUCACUAUCAUCAUCAUCACACCACCACCACCAUCAUCACACCACCACCACCACCACCGUCGUCAUCACUAUCAUCAUCAUCAUCACACCGCCACCAUCACCACCACCACCAUCACACCACCACCACCACCACCACCGUCACCAUCACUAUCAUCAUCAUCACACCACCACCACCACCACCAUCAUCACUAUCAUCAUCAUCAUCACCACACCACCACCAUCACCACCACCACCAUCACACCACCACCACCACUGUCACCACCACCACCACCACCAUCACACCACCACCACCGCCACCGUCGUCAUCACUAUCAUCAUCAUCAUCACACCACCACCAUCACCACCACCAUCACACCACCACCACCACUACUGUCAUCACUAUCAUCAUCAUCACACCACCACCAUCACCAUCAUCACACCACCACCACCAUCACCAUCACCAUCAUCACACCACCACCACCAUCACACCACCACCACCAUCAUUAUCAUCACCAUCAUCACACCACCACCACCACCAUCACCAUCACCAUCAUCACACCACCACCACCAUUACCAUCACCAUCAUCACACCACCACCACCACCAUUACCAUCACCAUCAUCACACCACCACCAUCACCAUCAUCACACCACCACCACCAUCACCAUCAUCACACCACCACCAUCAUUACCAUCACCAUCAUCACACCACCACCACCACCAUUACCAUCAUCACACCACCACCAUCAUCACACCACCACCACCAUCAUAUACCAUCACCAUCAACACACCACCACCACCAUCAUAUACCAUCACCAUCAUCACACCGCCACCACCAUCAUUACCAUCACCAUCAUCACACCACCACCACCAACAUUACCAUCACCAUCAUCACACCACCACCACCACCAUUACCAUCACCAUCAUCACACUACCACCACCAUUACCAUCACCAUCAUCACACUACCACCAUCAUUACCAUCACCAUCAUCACACCACCACCACCAACAUUACCAUCACCAUCAUCACGCCACCACCACCACCAUUACCAUCACCACCAUCACACCACCACCACCACCAUCACCAUCAUCACACCACCACCACCACCAUCACCAUCAUCACACCACCACCACCACCAUUACCAUCACCAUCAUUACACCACCCCCACCAUUACCAUCACCAUCAUCACACCACCACCACCACCAUUACCAUCACCAUCAUCACACCCCCACCAUCAUUACCAUCACCAUCAUUACACCACCACCAUCAGUACACCACCACCACCAUUACCAUCACCAUCAUCACAUCACCACCACCAUCACACCAUCACUAUAAUUACCACCACCAUUAUCACAUCACCACCAUUAUCAUCACCAUCAUCAACAUCAUACCACCACCAUCAUCAUCACAUCCUCUUCCUUGAUGUCUUAUCUCCAUGGCGUGUACACUGGAUGUAGAAUAUAGUCUUGCUGGGUACUACGGGAGCUGUAUCUCAGUAGAAGGAAUGAAGACUAGCUCUUGAUAAGCUGAAAAUCCCUUAAUAGCCUACAUUCUAAAUACGCAUAUUCAUUGUACCAGGGGUUUCUAACCUUGCUUUGAUGAUAUCCUAGUGUCACUGUCUCAAAACCAAAUUAAUUUUGGACUUGAGUAUUUAGCGUUGGGAGAAGGAGUAGGAUUGUAUAUUAUUAUAA
rnacentral:lncRNA from 1 species